GUCUACGGCCAUGCCACCCUGAAAGCGCCCGAUCUAGUCUGAUCUUGGAAGCUAAGCAGGGUCGGGCCUGGUUAGUACUUGGAUGGGAGA
rnacentral:rRNA from 1 species